UACGUAGGGUGCGAGCGUUGUCCGGAAUUACUGGGCGUAAAGAGCUCGUAGGUGGUUUGUCGCGUUGUUCGUGAAAACCGGGGGCUUAACCCUCGGCGUGCGGGCGAUACGGGCAGACUUGAGUACUGCAGGGGAGACUGGAAUUCCUGGUGUAGCGGUGGAAUGCGCAGAUAUCAGGAGGAACACCGGUGGCGAAGGCGGGUCUCUGGGCAGUUCCUGACGCUGAGGCACGAAGGCCAGGGGAGCAAACGGG
rnacentral:rRNA from 1 species